ACGAAGGUGGCUAGCGUUGUUCGGAAUCACUGGGCUUAAAGAGCACGUAGGCGGCCUGUCAAGCGUCUUGUGAAAUCCCUCGGCUCAACCGAGGAAUGGCUGGGCGAACUGGCAGGCUUGAGGUAGGUAGGGGCGCACGGAACUCUUGGUGGAGCGGUGGAAUGCGUAGAUAUCAAGAGGAACGCCGGUGGUGAAGACGGUGCGCUGGGCCUAUCCUGACGCUCAGGUGCGAAAGCCAGGGGAGCAAACGG
rnacentral:rRNA from 1 species